rnacentral:misc_RNA from 1 species
AAAAAAAAUUAAAAUAAAAUAAAGCCAACUUUCUAACAUUUUAUUCAACCGUGCAAUUACAGCAUGUUCAAAUAACAAAAGGCAAUGAACAAUUCAGUAAGCCUGGCUGACAAGGUAUCAUCAGUUAAUUUUAAGUACUGAACUAUCAUCAAACUUGCAUAUACCGCAAACGGUUAUGAUGUCAUAAAUGCAGAGGCUGUUGUACAUCUGUCCUAAUGUAAAUGCAAGUACUGUCAGUCCAAGAAGAAAACCAAUGUCAUACCAGAAAUAGUUGCUGAACAACGAU